rnacentral:tRNA from 1 species
GCAAUUGGGCUCAGUGGUAGAAUUCUCGCCUUCCAUGUGGGAGACCUGGGUUUGAUUCCCAGCCAAUGCA